rnacentral:misc_RNA from 1 species
CCGAGUGCGGGUCCUUCGGGGCCCAACCUCCCACCCGUGUCUACCGUACCAUGUUGCUUCGGCGGGCCCGCCGCUAUCGGCCGCCCGGGGGCUCAGAGCUCCCCGGGUCCGUGCCCGCCGAAGACCCCAACACGAACACUGUCUGAAAGCAUGCAGUCUGAGUUGAUUCUUUGCAAUCAGUUA